rnacentral:rRNA from 1 species
AUCCUGGCUCAGGAUGAACGCUAGCGGCAGGCUUAACACAUGCAAGUCGAGGGGCAGCACGUCUUCGGAUGGUGGCGACCGGCGCACGGGUGCGUAACGCGUAUAGAACCUACCUUUUACAGGGGAAUAGCCCAGAGAAAUUUGGAUUAAUGCCCCAUAGUAUUAUUAGAUGGCAUCAUUUGAUAAUUAAACAUUUAUGGGUAAAAGAUGGCUAUGCGUUCUAUUAGCUAGAUGGUAAGGUAACGGCUUACCAUGGCGACGAUAGAUAGGGGUCCUGAGAGGGAGAUCCCCCACACUGGUACUGAGACACGGACCAGACUCCUACGGGAGGCAGCAGUGAGGAAUAUUGGACAAUGGGCGAGAGCCUGAUCCAGCCAUGCCGCGUGCAGGAAGACGGUCCUAUGGAUUGUAAACUGCUUUUAUACAGGAAGAAACACUCCCUCGUGAGGGAAUUUGACGGUACUGUAUGAAUAAGCACCGGCUAACUCCGUG